rnacentral:rRNA from 1 species
CGUGUAGGCGGCCUGAUAAGUCGGUUGUGAAAGUCAAGGGCUCAACCCUUGAAUGCCGACCGAUACUGUCAGGCUAGAAUCCGGAAGAGGCGAGUGGAAUUCCUGGUGUAGCGGUGAAAUGCGCAGAUAUCAGGAGGAACACCUAUGGCGAAGGCAGCUCGCUGGGACGGUAUUGACGCUGAGCGCGAAAGCGUGGGAGCGAACA